rnacentral:rRNA from 1 species
UACAGAGGUCUCAAGCGUUGUUCGGAUUCAUUGGGCGUAAAGGGUGCGUAGGCGGCGCGGUAAGUCGGGGUGUGAAAUCUUGGAGCUUAACUCCGAAACUGCAUUCGAUACUGCCGUGCUUGAGGACUGGAGAGGAGACUGGAAUUUACGGUGUAGCGGUGAAAUGCGUAGAUAUCGUAAGGAAGACCAGUGGCGAAGGCGGGUCUCGUGGACAGUUCCUGACGCUGAGGCACGAAGGCCAGGGGAGCAAACGGGGAUU